AUGAAAAGCACUUUGAAAAGAGGGUGAAAAGAACCUGAAACCGUCAUGGGGGAAGCGGAUUGCGUUGAAUUGGUGGCUGUGUGUGUGUUCAGCCUGUAUUGUUCAGGUGCAUUGACACGCAUGGUUACUCACUGUGGGCUUUUGUUGGACGAUGGUGGUCCGACGGGGGCUGAGGGAUCCCCUAAAUUUUUUUUUAAAUGGGUUUAAUGAGGACAGUGAGGCAGCGACGCGAUACGACCCGUCUUGAAACACGGACCAAGGAGUCUAGCGCGGCUGCGAGUCGAAGGGUGGAAAAACCUGAAGGCGCAGUGAAAGCAAAUAUUUCUGUGAAACUGAUUUUUAUUUUAUUAAGCAAGUUGAGGCGGCAUAAGGUUGUUAACCUUAGGUCCGACCCAGAGCAGUUGCGCUGGGACCCGAAAGAUGGUGAACUAUGCCGGAGUAGGGCAAAGCCAGAGGAAACUCUGGUGGAGGCUCGUAGCGGUGCUGACGUGCAAAUCGCUCGUCCAACUUGGGUAUAGGGGCGAAAGACUAAUCGAACCAUCUAGUAGCUGGUUCCCUCCGAAGUUUCUCUCAGGAUAGCGGGCCGACGAUGUGUUGUUUUGUGC
rnacentral:rRNA from 1 species